UACAGAGGUCUCAAGCGUUGUUCGGAUUCAUUGGGCGUAAAGGGUGUGUAGGUGGCGCCGUAAGUCGGGUGUGAAAUUUCGGAGCUUAACUCCGAAACUGCAUUCGAUACUGGCGUGCUUGAGGACUGGAGAGGAGACUGGAAUUUACGGUGUAGCGGUGAAAUGCGUAGAUAUCGAGAUGAACGAAGACCCGUGGCGAAGGCGGGUCU
rnacentral:rRNA from 1 species